GGUUUCCCUUUACGAAUUGUAGUUUAAAGAAGUGUUUUCUGUUGAGGUUUUGGUAAAAGUUCUUUGGAAUAGGACAUCAUAGAGGGUGAGAAUCCCGUAUUUGACCUUUACUUUCAACUUUGUGAUACACUUUCAAAGAGUCGGAUUGUUUGGGAAUGCAGUCCAAAAUGGGUGGUAAAUUUCAUCUAAAGCUAAAUAUUGGCGAGAGACCGAUAGCGAACAAGUGCCGUGAGGGAAAGAUGAAAAGAACUUUGAAAAGAGAGUUAAACAGUACGUGAAAUUGUCAAAAGGGAAGCGUUUGACACCAGUGUUGUUUUUCUGAAAAUCAAUUAAAGAACUGUUUAUGCUAAGUUGUUUAGACCUUAUCAGCUAACUGUUUAGUUUUGAGCUUUUCUUU
rnacentral:rRNA from 1 species